CUAGCUCGCUCGCGGGCUCGCACGGGCAGGAGCGUCGGAGGAGGGUGUUAAGGGGCGUGGGCUCGGGGUACUCUCCUCGAGGAGGACACCAAAACGUGCGGCGGCGGCCGCUGGAGGUUGGUGUCGAACGGCCUCGGUCGUCUACUCACGGUGGGAAGAAGGGCACGAGAGAAAGAAGGAGGAAAAAGAGAGAGUGUGUAGAGUUAAAGAGAGAAACAGAGUUUAUCACGUGAGACAGCGGUACCUGCGAGCGCAGGGGCUGGAAGUCGCACGGCGGGGUUACGGUUCAGGGAGGAGCGGCAAGGACGCGGCGGCUCGGCUUCGGAGCGGGUUCAGGUUCUCGACGGCGGCAAACGGAGGAGCGGUACCGGAGGGGACGAAGCAGACGAAGCGCCUGUCUCGAGGCAGAGGCAGUUGCACAGGAGGGCGGCAGAGACAAGCGACAGCCCGAGUUAGCUGAGGUCGUCAUGGGGGUGCCUGUUCCACCACUUGGACGACAAGCUCUUCUCCGGCUUCGUCAAGCCGUAGCUACCGCGGGACGACUGUUUCUUCCUGGAGGUGGCCAAGCAGUUCACCCGGUUCCAGUACGCGUAGGUCGCGGUCGCGGCGUAGGAGUUUAUCGCGGAGUUCCACGGGAGCCGCGAGGUACUCAAGUGGGCGUGGGAGCUGUUCUUGGAGCCAUAUAUGCUUUGAAAGGACAAGUAAGCAGCGACCUGAGCCUUAGGUGUUACGGGCUCCAGCAAAUCAACGACACUACAUAAUAAAACUGAACACCCAUACGUUAUCGAUUCACUCGCUCAUAAUUGAACCGGUUCUAUUACUUUUCUCAACUACCUACACAAAAUUCUAAGGACAACCAUCUAUGUAACCCUCGGAGGAGAACACACUAUUCCCGUUACGUACAACAACAGGAUGUAUGGAUGAUGAUAUAAAUAAAAUGACUUAUAUAACUGUACGGUACUGUAAUACUUCAUUAUCUGACCAAUCGUCUUCGAAAGUGAAGAUUCCUACGGUCAUCCUUCUUAGUAACAUCAAUUCACUGACACACCGACGACACCGGAACGAUACAAACAUGGACUUCAGUGUGGAGAUAUUAACGAAAAAUAAAAUACAACCUUGCACAGAUCAAUACCGUGCCACUCGAGAGAGAAAGGACCUAAAACUUAAUGAAUCAAUACACUAGAUGAGUACAAGCACGAUUAACUGGUUAUGUACGAAAAGACAUUGAAAUCUAUAAAAGUUCUUAUCAAACGAACCAGGAAGUAUAGAUUUCGAACGUACAUAACAUCUUCGAGAUGAAAUACGAUUAUGGACGAACACAUUGUAAAACGUACCGUAUGAAGAUUUACCUGUUCAUGUACGCUGCAGGUCACAGUUGCUACACGCCUGGUAUACAAGUUGACGUCGGGGUAGGUAACGUAGCUGUGUUUGUAGAAAACGUAGUCGGACAGUAACGAUUCCCUCUUCGCCCUGAACCUCUUCCUUAGAAAGGUAAUUCGUCUAAUGUACAAACCAACGACACUUCAUGGUCUAUCCGAUCAAGAUAAAAAAAGUACUAGGACCUCAUAAAGUCGUCGCGGUACGUUUACGUCAUCGCAAUCCAAAGACUAAGUGGAACACAUUUUUGAAUCAAUCGGGCGUCAGUCAGUCAUCAUCGAGUCGGUCGGUCGGUCGGAGUUUAUCAUAAUGACCUUACUUACCAACAUUAUAUUAUUGUAACGUGCGACGAAACUUUUACAUAGUCUUGACCCGACCCGGGUUCUAUCGAACACCACACUACACAACAUUACAGUUACCGUAUUAUUAAAAAAAACCUAACCUAG
rnacentral:rRNA from 1 species